rnacentral:tRNA from 1 species
GCCUCAGUAGCUCAGUCGGUAGAGCACGUCCUUGGUAAGGACGAGGUCAUCGGUUCGAUCCCGAUCUGAGGCUCCA